rnacentral:lncRNA from 1 species
UGAAAGCAGUGGCAAGAAAAUAUUUUUUUACCCACCUAGUUGGCAAGAGUUAACAAAAUGGUUAGAACCAGUGCUAGGGAGAAUGCAGAGAAUGGAUACCCAGACACCCGGAACGACAUCCACAUGGUUGGUGGGAGUGUGGAUUGCGACAGCUAAAUUUUUAAGGAAGGGACCUGCUAGAGCCUGUUGACGUUUGCAAUACACACGCCUGUGACCUGCCUUCCGCUUUGGGGAUUCUGUCCCACAGAAAGGAAAGCACCCUCACCAAAGGAAAUUUCUACCACGACGUCUGUGGAGCAUCGGCUGUGGGAGGCAAUGCACCAGAGACCAAGCAAGUGCCCUCCAUGUGGGGGUGUUUGCGCAGCCAUGGCGCCGUCCUUCAUCCGCCAGAAUACUAAGUGACUCUUAUAAGGAGUGGUUUGAGACUCAAAUGUACUGGCACGACAGACGCCAGUGAAACAUUAUUUUAAAAAAUGCAAGUUACGGAAUAGCAUGCAUCCUAAUCUGCUGGGCCCGAGCCACUGCGCUGAGCACAGCCCUGAAAAUGCGUGAAGAACCACAUGGGGCGACAAGGAUGAAGGCCACAAACAGGAUGGAGAAAGAAAGAAGCGGGUCAGAGAAGAAGAUUAGCCCUGAGCUAACAUCUGCUGCCAAUCCUCCUCUUUCUGCUGAGGAAGCCUGGCCCUGAGCUAAUAUCCGUGCCCAUCUUCCUCUACUUUAUAUAUGGGACGCCUACCACAGCAUGGUGUGCCAAGUGGUGCCGUGUCCGCACCC